UGAGUCGACCGGGUGGCCGCGGUCGACCGGGUUCGCCCGGACGAUCGAGGAAAGUCGGGACUCCACAGGACAGGGUGCUGGCGAGAGCCAGGUCGGGGUGACCUGACGGAUCAGUGCAACAGAGAGAGACCGCCGAUGGGCCGGGCAACCGGUCACAGGUGAGGGUGAAACGGUGUGGUAAGAGCGCACCAGCGUCCGGGGCGACCCGGGCGGCUCGGCAAACCCCAUCCGGAGCAAGGCCGAGCAGGAGGCGCGGGUGGUCCGCCCUUUCCCCGCCACCGGCGGGGACCCCUCCGGGUAGGCCGCACAGAUGGAUGGCCACCGGCCGCCGAGAGGCGACCACAGAAUCCCGCUUACAGGCCGACUCACCGU
rnacentral:RNase_P_RNA from 1 species